AUCCCAUGAUGAGGACACUCGAGUAUGUACUCUUGAAAGCACUCCCAAGCUUUUGGGACUAUCUCGUCAUGUUGUUUCUAAAAGCUCGAUAUCUUCCUAAGCAGAGCAU
rnacentral:snoRNA from 1 species